UCAGCCCUACGGCAUUCCAAAGUCACAUUAAUAAAGUUAUUUUAAGAUAACAAGUGCUAUCUUAAGAUAACUCUAUUAAUGUGAUUUCGGAAUGCGUGUAUAUUCACAUAAAUGUCUUGAUUGUAAGAUAACUCGAGUUAUUUUAAGAUAACAUAAAUGUGAUAAUUCUAUCUUUUCUAAUGCGCAUAUGUGUAAAUGAACGUUGCUUAGGGUGCGGAUACGUAAAGUAGCUCACAAAACAACAGCCUACAUGAAUUUCCGGCCGUAUUGACAUUUAUUUUGAUACGUCAUUUGUAUUGUCCUUGUGGUGUCGCGUAUGUGCUCUGCUGUAGAGUUCGCUCUGCGGUGGAGAACAAGAUGCAUUUUGUUAGUUUUGUGUUGUGAUGUAUUGUCCCGUGUUAAUUAUGUAAAGAGAAUAAUUGUAAUUUUGGUACUAUUUUUAGUUAAAUUUUCUGCACAUCUUGCACAUCUUUUUUCUGCGCAUUCAGUCUUCAACAUGUAAUGACAGAGUCGAACAUACAUUUUUGUAUUAAAUUUGCUGUUGAGUGAAAUUUUUCUUUCAUACAUUACAGGAGUUGUCCUGUAUCUCAGCAUCUGUUUUAGUUGUUUUCUCUCACAUGUAGUUGGCUUGGCUUACGCCACUAUAUAUCUAGUUAAAUCUUGGCAUUCAUUUUUUUGCUUUGCUAAAUUGUAUUUUUGGUAAUAUAGAACAGACAGCCAAUUACUGAUAUGAAAAAUCGUAAGAAUAAUAUUAAACGAAGAUCCAUACAAUGUAAAUUGGAGAAACUGAUUACAUUACAACGAACGAGUGAAUGAUCAGUGAAAAACAAUCUAAGAAAUGUAUGGAUGCUGAGUCGUUUACAACACAUGUAAAAAAGUGCGCCAAAUAUAAUUUUUUUAAAAAAAUCUGCCGAAUUUAUGGA